ensembl:lncRNA
GGUAGGCAGCAGCAGGCUCGUAAGCAUUCAUUCAAACAACACUUUCGUGCGUUUGCCAGCAGCUCUUUGCUGUGCUUCAAGCAUUGAGCUAUUUAUGACUUCAAGGCUAUCAACUCCCGAGAUUAGGCUGGUGUAACCGAUGUGAAAUGGCUAGCUAGUUAGCGGGGUGCACGCUAAUAGCGUUUCAAUCGGUGACGUCACUCGCUCUGAGACCUUGAAGUAGUUGUUCCCCUUGCUCUGCAAGGGCCGCGGCUUUUGUGGAGCGAUGGGUAACGAUGCUUCGAGGGUGGCUGUUGUCGAUGUGUUCCUGGUUCGAGCCCAGGUAGGGGCGAGGAGAGGGACGGAAGCUAUACUGUUACUCUGGCAAUACUAAAGUGCCUGUAAGAACAUCCAAUAGUCAAAGGUAUGUGAAAUACAAAUGGUAUAGACAGAAAUAGUCCUAUAAUAACUACAACCUAAAACUUCUUACCUGGGAAUAUUGAAGACUCAUGUUAAAAGGAACCACCAGCUUUCAUAUGUUCUCAUGUUCUGAGCAAGGAACUUAAACGUUAGCUUUUUUACAUCGCACAUAUUGCACUUUUACUUUCUUCCUCAACACUUUGUUUUUGCAUUAUUUAAACCAAAUUGAACAUGUUUCAUUAUUUAUUUGAGGCUAAAUUGAUUUUAUUGAUGUAUUAUAUUAAGUUAAAAUAAGUGUUCAUUCAGUAUUGUUGUAAUUGUCAUUAUUACAAAUAAAUAAAUUUGUAAUUUAAAAUAAAAUCGGCCAAUAAAUCGGUAUCAGCUUUUUUGGUCCUCCAAUAAUCGGUAUCGACGUUGAAAAAUCAUAAUCGGUCAACCUCUAGUUCACAGGUGUGUUCCAGGUGCACGAGUCGGAUGGAUCCAUAAUUGUGUACUGGCAGGCAUUGCACACCCCUGAGACGCCGACAGCCGGGCCAGCUCCGCGGUACGUUCACAGCGUGCUCUACUGAGCGCAUUUCCUGACUAUCCACGGCCCUGCUUCACCCGAACGCACCAGUGCACCUUCCGGCCACAUGCCCCGCUCUUCGGUGGACCAGUGAGGCAUUGCUGCCAACCAUUAUAUCCGAGUCUCAACCAUCGCCGGACCACAACCUCAUCCACCUCCACCCAUGUUGCCGACUGCAUGACAACACCAAGCACCCGAGGGACACAAUGACGACAUCCCCUGCUGCCUCCACUGCAGCAUAUUCAUUCCAGCACCACCAACUUGGCCUCAAAGACUUGGACCCAGGCCCCCAAGCCAGCUCCGGCCCUGUCUUCUCUCCCACGGCUUGGUAUCCAUUUCCAUCUGAGACAAAUACUAUCCCUGUCCGGCUAUUCCGCUGACCAAUUCUCAGGACACUCCUUCUGGGGUCUAAGGAUGGCAGGGAUGAGCUGUAUACCAGGUCUUCCAUUCAUAUUGGCAGUAGCCCUGGCACACAGGCACAUGGUGGGUAGCCCUGGUAGCACCCAGGGUGGAUUAACAUGUUAAGAUGGUUGCUACGGAGGGGGCGAGGUUCUGAGGUUGUUUUAGAGCCAUUCAAUGUAAUAGAGGUAUUCCAUACAAUACAAAGUACAAAAUAACACUAUCUGUUGGUCAGAGCAACUCUGUCAAUUUUGGGAAAACCAAUACUGCGUUGGAGGGGAAAUCUGGAGCAGUCUUAAGGAUCGGACCCAUUUUUAAAAUGUUCUGCUAAAAUGACAUGCCCAAAUCUUACUGCCUGUAGCUCAGGCCCUGAAGCAAGGAUAUGCAUAUUCUUGAUACCAUUUGAAAGGAAGCAUUUUGAAGUUUGUGGAAAUGUGAAAUUAAUGUAGGAGAAUAUAACACAUUAGAUCUGGUAAAAGAUAAAACAUAGACUUCAUUUUUUUCCAUCUUUGUAAUGCAAGAGAAAGGUCAUGACGUACUAUUCCAGCUUAGGUGCAAUUUUGGUUUUGACCACUAGAUGGGAGCAGUGUGUGAAAUGUUUUAGACUGAUCAAAUGAACCAUUGCAUUUCUGUUCAAAAUGUUGUAUCAAGACUGCCCAAAUGUGCCUAAUUGGUUUAUUAAUACAUUUAAGUUAAUAACUAUGCACUCUCCACAAACAAUAGCAUUUUAUUAUUUCACUGUAAUAGCUACUGUAAAUUGGACAGUGCCGUUAGAUUAACAAGAAUUUAAGCUUUCUGCCCAUAUCAGAUAUGUCUGUCCUGGGAUUUUUUUAAAUCACAUUAGCUCAACCACCCCGCGUGGUGGGGCAAUGAUCCUGAAACCAAUGCAUUCCCUAUCUGGAUAUGGAAUGACUCUGAUGUCAAACUCUUAUACGAAGUUGCUGGGCAUGACUCACUGGGGCAUUUCUAGAGGAGCUGAACUCAAAUCGUAAAUGGCUAAUUUACCGAGAUAAGAACAGUGCAAAUAGCAGAACAUUUUAUCCAAAUGCCUUAACUGGAGGGAGACUGAAUUGAUCAUGAAAUUUGAACUGGUUUCACUUAUCAAUCUGGCUGGUCAGAUGUUUAAAACAGUCUCAAAAUAAAUAAUGUCCUACUCACUGUUGGAUUAAAUCCUGCUAUAUUUUACAAGCUAGAAUAUUUAGGACACAACAGUACGUUUGCUUCUGUUGUGAGUGAUGGAAAAAAUACAAAUAAGAUGGAUAUCCGGUUUACAAUAGCUACAGUGCCUUGCAAAAGUUUUCAUCCCCCUUGGCGUUUUUCCUAUUUUGCUGCAUUACAACCUGUAAUUUAAAUAGAUUAUUAGAAUUUCAUGUAAUAGACAAAAUAGUCCAAAUUGGUGAAGCAAACUUUAAAAAAUAACUUGUUUAAAAAAAAAAUGUAAAUUGGUGCAUGCAUAUGUAUUCACCCCUUUGCUAUGAAGCCCCUACAUACGAUCUGGUGCAACCAAUUAACUUCAGAAGUCACAUAGGUUGUGACAUAGUCCACCUGUGUGCAAUCUGUGUCACAUGAUCUGUCACAUGAUCUUAGUAUAGAUACACAACUGUUCUGAAAGGCCCCAGAGUCUGCAACACCACUAAGCAAGGGGCACCACCAAGCAAGCAGCACCAUGAAGACCAAGGAGAUCUCCAAACAGGUCAGGGACAAAGUUGUGGAGAAGUACAGAUCAGGGCUGGGUUAUAAAAAAAUAUCUUAAACUUUGAACAUCCCACAGAGCACCAUCCAUUAUUAAAAAAUGGAAAGAAUAUAGCAGAUAAAAGCCAUUGCUUAAAGAAAAAAUAAGCAAACACAUUUGGUGUUCGCCAAAAGGCAUGUGGGAGACUUCCCAAACAUAUGGAAGAAGGUACUCUGGUCAGAUGAGACUAAAACUGAGCUUUUUGGCCAUCAAGGAAAACGCUAUGUCUGGCGCAAACCCAACACCUCUCAUCAACCCGAGAACACCAUCCCCACAGUGAAGCAUGGUGGUGGCAGCAUCAUGCUGUGGGGAUGUUUUUCAUCGGCAGGGACUGGGAAACUGGUAAGAAUAGAAGGAAUGAUGGACGGCGCUAAAUACAUGGAAAUUAUUGAGGGAAACCUGUUAGUCUUCCAGAGAUUUGAGUCUGGGACGGAGGUUCACCUUCCAGCAGAACAAUGACCCUAACGAUUCAGGUAAAGCAACACUAGAGUGGUUUAAGGGUAAACAUUUAAAUGUCUUGGAAUGGCCUAGUCAAAGCCCAGACCUCAAUCCAAUUGAGAAUCUGUGGUAUGACAAAGUUUGCUGUACACCAGCGGAACCCAUCCAACUGGAAGGAGCUGGAGCAGUUUUGCCUUGAAGAAUGAGCAAAAAUCCCAGUGGCUAGAUGUGCCAAGCUUAUAGAGACAUACCCCAAGAGACUUGAAGCUGUAAUUGUUGCAAAAGGUGGCUCUACAAAGUAUUGACUUUGGGGAGUGAAUAGUUAUGCACGCUCAAGUUUUCAGUUUUUUUGUCUUAUUUUUUGUCUGUUUCACAA